rnacentral:lncRNA from 1 species
GCUAGAUUUAGAGGUGGAUUUGGCUUUCCUCCUCUAAAAUCCAAGCAUGUUAUUUAACUAAACUUUAGUGUUUUUGUAUUGUAUCAAGAAGCCAAUUGAUGUAAUACAGAAUAAAAGAAGAAUUUGGGGACUGUCUUUGUCAUUUCUUGGAUCUUUCUCUCAAGCCAAUGAAGACCUGCCUGACAGCAAUCCCUGGACUCCCUGGAAAAAAAUGGGCUACACAUCCUCGAGUGCACUGGAUCCAACUUGCUCCAUUUUAACUGACACUCUGGCCAGAGGUUCGGGUACUGACUUCAAUCAAGUUGAUGAUUUCAAGUGAGAUCUUCAAUCAAGAGAAUCCCAUCUAGCAUGGACUGGAUACAAUCCAUUCAAGACUUUCACUAUACUAACAUUUUCUUCCUACAGGACCCCACAAGGCUAUCAUCGUCCUAUUUCAGCAGGAAGUAACUUGGAGGAUGCUACGACCCCUUUCCCCAUUGUUGUCACUUAGGACAGUGUAUAUACCUAUUUAGGGAUAGCUUCCUAUUGUUUAUGGUUGGGAUUGGAAGGAGGUGUUCAGGCUUGGACACCUCUUUCAGAUGACUUUAGGGUUUAGUUAAAAUAGAUAGUUAGGAUGUGACAUAAGCAGAUUGUUGUAUCUUCUUAUAUUUUACCUUUAUGAUGGUUAAUUUUGGAUACUUUACACUGUUAAGUUUUAAUCCUCUUUUAGACUAAAAGGGGAAUUGCAGGGGAAGCUGUAGCCACGCCUACUUAGGGGCUGGCUACAAGAGUGCCUGAC